GCAGCCCCAUCUACUGUGUACUCUUUCUUCCGGAACUGCUCCGCGCGCCCCCAUCGGCAGUGCCACACCUCAUUACACGCAAGCACCCACACCAGUUGCCAUUCUGUCGUUCCGGUUCUGCAAUAGCCCCCACGCGCUCUUCGUUCCCUUUCCGUAUUCCCCAUCUCCCUUCCUCCACACACUUUCUCCUCCAUCACCACAACUGGAAGAUGCCGGCAGUGCACGUGAAGAGCGACAAGGUGAAGUACACGCCUGAGGUGAUCGAGUCGCUGUAUGACUAUGCCACGACGCGCGUGAGACGCAACACAGACGGCACGGUGUCGGUGGAGCCGACGAAGUGCGGACUUCUGUUCCGCACGGCGCGCCAGGUGCCGCGGGUGGGCGUGAUGCUGGUCGGCUGGUGCGGCAACAACGGCACGACGGUGACGGCGGGUAUCCUUGCGAACAAGCUGGGCCUGAAGUGGCGCACGCGGCGCGGCAUGCAGUCAGCCAACUACUUUGGCUCCAUCACUCAGUCCAGCACCAUCAACCUGGGCAUGACGCGUGACAUGGACGAGGUUUUCGUGCCACUCAAGGACUUGGUGCCGAUGGUGUCGCCCGACAACCUGGUUAUCGGUGGGUGGGACUGCAACAACAUGAACCUCGGUGACGCGAUGCGGCGCGCCGCCGUUCUGGACGUGCAGGUGCAGGACGCGCUCUACGAUCAUAUGAGAAAGCUGUGCCCGCUGCCGGCCAUCUUCGAUAUUGACUUCGUCGCGGCGAACCAGAAGGAUCGCGCGAACAAUGUGCUCGACACGUGCGACCGCUGGGAGGCAGUGGAACAGGUGCGCAAGGACAUCCGCGACUUCAAGUCGGCCAACAAGCUGGACAAGGUGAUUGUGCUGUGGACUGCCAAUACGGAGCGUUUCAGCGAGCACCGCGACGGUGUCCACGACACGGCCGAGAACCUGCUGGCGGCGUUGAAGCGCAACGAGUCGGAGUUGGCGCCGUCCACGUUGUACGCGAUGGCGGCCGUUCUUGAAAAGUGCAGCUUCAUCAACGGCGCGCCGCAGAACACGCUGUGCUCUGGGCUGGUGGAGAUGGCGCGCGAGGCGAAGGUCUUCGUCGGCGGUGACGACUUCAAGAGCGGCCAGACCAAGAUGAAGAGCGCCCUGGUGGAGUUCUUUGUCGGCGCCGGCAUCAAGCCUGAGUGCAUCGUCAGCUACAACCACCUCGGCAACAACGAUGGCUACAACCUGUCCAGCCACAAGCAGUUCUGCUCGAAAGAGAUUACCAAGAGCAACGUGGUGGACGACAUGAUCAAGUCCAACCAGGUGCUCUUCCCCGAAGGCACAAGAAAGCCGGACCACUGCAUCGUCAUCAAGUACAUUCCCUACGUCGGGGACAGCAAGCGCGCGCUAGACGAGUACACCUUCUCCAUCUUUAUGGGCGGCCAGCAGACAGUAGUGCUGCACAACACCUGCGAGGACUCGCUGCUUGCAGCGCCGCUCAUCAUUGACCUUAUCGUGCUCACCGAGCUCAUGGAGCGCGUCACGAUCAGCGCCAGCGACGACCUGCAGGCGCCGUCACCAGCGUCCUUCGAGCACAUGGAGACGGUGCUGUCCAUUCUGUCCUACCUGCUCAAGGCACCCGCCGUGCCGGAGGGCACGCCGGUUGUUAACGCGCUCAAUCGCCAGAGGUCGGCCAUCGAGAACGUGCUGCGUGCCAUGAUUGGGCUUCCGCCCGACAGCAACAUGCUGCUCGAGUGCCGCGUCCCCUUCAUACGCGAGGAGCACGUCAACGGCAAGUGACCCCGUUACCCCUAAAGGCCCUCUCGUCGGCCAUAUAUAUAUAUAUAUCCCCUACUCUCUUGACAACCCCUUGUCUGUGCGACGCGGAACAAAUCUUGUGCGACCUACCACCGCCUGCCCCCUCCCACACCUACACAUACAUAUACAUACACAUACGUUCACGGGUUCUGCAGCUGUGCCGCUGCGAUUUCGCGUUGCUGUGACUCUGUAUGUGUAUAGGUAUGUGUGCGACGCAGCGUGGGAGGGUGGACGGGGUCACAGCUGGCGCAGCGACUCUCCGUCCCCCCGACCCGAUUCCGUCCUUUUUCACACCGAAGACAGCGACGGCCACGGGUGGUGAAUGCGAUCCGAGACGCAGCCCCAUGCGUGCGUUCGAUGUGGCAGCUGUGCGCGCUGCCUGUCGAUCGGCGUAGAGUUCCGUAUGGUAACAUCGACUCUGGUUCGCCCAGUUUCCUGUUAUCCCUCUACAUGCUUUCCUAUUUUCCUCGCCUCUCGCUGUAAGUAUGCGCCUGCAUGCGGCUGAAAAAUGUGCGCGCGCUUGGCUGCUACGCCGGUGAGGGCCUCUGCGUUCGUAUUAUAUCUCCGAAUAGCGAGCUGAAAUGCGCUCGAGUGUUGAACUCGCUGACGAUGAAGUGUGUGCUCAUGUUCUCUGCCCCACAAAUAAUUCUGCAUGUGAGGAUCGUGCUUGGCGCGAGCUGCUUGACCGGCGCGCACCCGUGGCGCGUCGCGGUACAACAAAGCACUUUCCGUUUGUACACGGUGUAUCUAUCCACGACCACGCAAGGCACUAUUU
rnacentral:misc_RNA from 1 species